rnacentral:sRNA from 1 species
GCGGCCGCGCUGAUGAACUGGGAAUCCCUUCUCUCCCCCACCCCAGGCCUCCUGAACCGGCCCAACCCCUUGCUGGCGUUGCCCCCCUCCCGCCCCCAAGGCCCAGAGGACGAGGACGAGGCAGUGGAGAGCGCCCAAGCGGAGGAUUACUCGCAGCUGCCCGGAGAAGAUCACAUCCUGGAGCACCUGCCCGCCCGGCUCAAUGAGGCCCUGCUGGAGGCCUGCGUGGAGCCCACGGACCUGCUGACCACCCUCUCCAACAUGCUGCCCGUGCGUCUGGCCACGGCCAUGAUGGUGCCCUACACGCUGCCGCUGGAGAGCGCUCUGUCCUUCACCAUCCGCUUGCUGGAGUGGCUGCCCGACGUUCCCGAGGACAUCCGGUGGAUGAAGGAGCAGACGGGCAGCAUCUGCCAGUACCUGGUGAUGCGCGCCAAGAGGAAGCUGGGCAGGCACCUGCCCUCUAGG